UACGAAGGGGGCUAGCGUUGCUCGGAAUCACUGGGCGUAAAGCGCACGUAGGCGGAUUGUUAAGUCAGGGGUGAAAUCCUGGAGCUCAACUCCAGAACUGCCUUUGAUACUGAAAGUCUUGAGUAUGGGAGAGGUGAGUGGAACUGCGAGUGUAGAGGUGAAAUUCGUAGAUAUUCGCAAGAACACCAGUGGCGAAGGCGGCUCACUGGCCCAUAACUGACGCUGAGGCACGAAAGCGUGGGGAGCAAACAGG
rnacentral:rRNA from 1 species